AAGUCGUAACAAGGUCUCCGUAGGUGAACCUGCGGAAGGAUCAUUAUCACAAAUGAUUUUUAACUCUCUUAAUCCAGAGUUAAACCUCUUCUUAAACCAAUCUAAUUAAAAUGUGAAAUCGUUUUAUUUUAAGACUUGGCAACAAGUCUUAAAAUUAUUAACCAAUUGAACCCUUUUCUAAUUAAUGUUAUUUUAUUUAUUUAGUUCUGAAAUCUAUUAUAUAUCAAUAUGUAAUAAUAUUGACAUGUAAUAAGUUACAUUACGAAACAAUUUAAAUAAAACAACUCUUAGCAACGGAUAUCUUGGUUCUC
rnacentral:misc_RNA from 1 species